UUUAUUGUUUGUGGUGAUUUGGCCGGUCGGCUUGCAGCCACGUUAAACAAGUCGCUAAAGGGCCGUUUCGCUGACAAC
rnacentral:ncRNA from 2 species